CACAGAGUCUAUUGCUACCAGGACAUCAACAACAAAAAUGCUGCCUGGAGCAUGAUUGCUAAUACAGUUAUAUCUGCGCAGUUGAAUGAGAGAGCCGACUAUAAUUGUGGAUAACAGGUGCUGGUGAUUCAGCUAAAUUAGAGCAGAAUGGUUCGCGUUGUACAGUAGUUAGAUACAAUGCUAGCUAACAACAACAGUUAGCUAGUCUAUCUACUUAAUUCGUUUUUGAGUUGGUUAGGCAGGCUACUGCAGCCUCUUUAAAUGUUUUAUUUAGCAGAUGAUCAAAUUUAGCUUGAAGAAUGUAGAUUUGACAUUGUAAAUAAUAUAGCGUUAGUUAAACCUUCCAUUUUUAUUAGUUGGCUGUGGUUAUGCUACCCAGAUAGCACACAUAUACAUCUUGCUGAUGUCGGCAUCAGAUCGGAAGAUCGAAAGCGGUUUAGUGCGUGGAGUGGAGGUCAGCUAUACAUGUGAACGAUCGAAAGAAAUGUGUGGCCAGGAAAUGGGUCUGCGAUGGGUGGUUCUAUGCGUUUACUCUGUACAAUCCUGCGCGGUCAUUUUCGUGGCCAUUUAUUUCCUGCCUUAAGUCCGAUACAGACCUCAUCCGGCGACAAGAUAUCUUUGCUACAGAACACAUUUCAUAGAACAUAAAUUACUCUCCCACUGUGUUGAGGAACAGAGGCAACGUGGUGAUAUUCCGAAGGUCUUGCAUAACGAAGCCCGAAUUGUAAACUCUUUGUUCAGAUCUCCCCACAACCAGCCAAAGGAUGGAAGCAAUACCCAGCCUGAGUACUCUUUGAAACAAAAUAUUUUCACAAGAUUGCUGAGCAGUGGGAGAAGUCAUGUGUGACAUCAGACCUCAACACUGACCAGGAGCAAGAAUGCCAAAGAGGCUGACAACAUAUCAAACUCAGGUCAUCAUCCUCCUCAACAGCCUCAGGAGGAGGAAGAUUAUCUUCCUUCCAACACGUCUCAAACAUACCUCUCCACUAAAAGGAAAGGCAAGGAGGCUCCUCUUAAAGCAAAUCCUCCAUUGGUUGUGAGAGCAAAUACAAACCACCAGAAUCGCAUCAGUAGUGUCACUAGCCAUCCAGAUCCAAGUUCCAGGCCAGACCAGAUCACAGGCCAGACCAGCAUCUGAAAGGAAUUAACUUAAAUAGACAUGCGAGUUAGAGAACAGGAGUGGUCUAACCUACAACUUCAAAUCAAAUGGAAGAAACUAACACUCUUGGAACUCCAAGAACUUGUUUUCAGACCUUUGAGCAACGUGUCCCACCAAACUCUACAGACCUAAAAGUUGUCCUCAACCGGGGACAGAAUGUUAAGCAAACCGUGUGGUGUGUGUUCGAGAAGGUCUUCACAACGGACUUGGCAACCCAAAUGAACUGGUGCGGGAGGGGGCAGAAGACUCAUCCGGUCAAUGCCACUGAAGGAUGCUAUUAUGUGUUCUGUUCUUAAAAACCCACAUUUGUUAUAAAUUACUGAGGUCGAGGGGCGGGGACGGCAGCUGGAGGGAGAGGCCUGAGGAAGAAGAGGAUGAUUAAUUUGUAGCCUAUAUAAUGCACAUUUGUUGGGUGUUUUUGUUUAGGCUUUACAUUCUGUAAAUAAAGUUCAUACCUUAGUCUUUA